UAAAAAUAAAUUUAUUAAUUUUAUUUUUUAAUAAAUAAAUUAAGUUUUAGUAUUUUUUAAAGAAAAAAUAAUUUUAAUUAUAGUGAAUAGUAUUGAAAAAGAAAAUUGAAAUAAUAAUUGAAAAUAAAUUAUAUAAAAAGAAAUUUUAAAUUAAUGUACCUUUUGUAUCAGGGAUUAUUAAAUAAUUAAUUAGUAUUUAAUUAAUUUCGAAAUAAAAAGAUUUAAUUUAAUAUAAUUUUUAUUGUAAUAAAAUUAUUUUAAAUAUUAAAUUAGAAUUAAAAAAUUAAUCGGGUUUUAUUAUAUCUAAUUUUUUAAGAAAUAAAUUUAAUUUAGUUUUAUAUUUUUAUUUAAUUAUUUAUUUAAUUUUAUAAUAAGUAUAAAAUAAUAUAUUAAGGGAUAAGCUUUAGUAUAAAAAAUUAUAAAAAUUUAAUAUUAUAAAUUUAUAUAUUCUUAGAAAUAGAAAUUAUAAAUUAGUAUGUUAUAAUUUAAUAAAUAAAAUAUAAUAUUUAAUUUUUUUUUUAAUUAUUCUAUUAAAAUAUUUAAUUUAAUAAUAAAAUUAAAUUAAUUAUGAUAAUAUUAGUAUAUAAUUUUAUAUAAAAUUAUUAAUUGUUUAAAAUUAAUUGUAAGGAAUUCGGCAAAUUUAGUAUUCACCUGUUUAUUAAAAACAUGUCUUUUUGAAGUUUAUUUAAAGUCUAAUCUGCCCACUGAUAUUUAAAGGGCCGCAGUAUAUUAACUGUGCAAAGGUAGCAUAAUCAUUAGUUUUUUAAUUGAAAGCUAGAAUGAAUGAUUGGAUGAAAUAUUUACUGUCUUAUAAUUAUUAAAAUAAAACUUUAUUUUUUAAUUAAAAAGUUAAAAUUCGAUAAAAAGACGAGAAGACCCUAUAGAUCUUUAUAAAUUAAAUAAUUAAAUAAAAAUUAGUUAAAUUAUUUUUUUAGUUGUUAAUUUAUUAUAUUGGGGUAAUAAUAAAAUUUUAUAAAUUUUUAUUUAUUUUAUUCAAUUAUAGUUGUUUAAUUGAUCCAGUAUUAUUGAUUAAAAAUUUAAGUUACCUUAGGGAUAACAGCGUAAUGAUUUUUGAGAGUUCUUAUCGAUAAAAUAGUUUGUGACCUCGAUGUUGAAUUAAAAUUUAUUUUAAAUGCAGAAGUUUAAAUAAUAAAGUCUGUUCGACUUUUAAUUUUUUACAUGAUUUGAGUUUAGACCGGCGUAAGCCAGGUCAGUUUCUAUCUUUUAAACAUAAAAAUAUUUUAGUACGAAAGGAUUAAAUAUUUAAUUAAUUUAAUUAAAAAUGAAAAUAAGAUUAUUUAUAAAUAAAAUGA
rnacentral:rRNA from 1 species